AGAGUUUGAUCAUGGCUCAGAUUGAACGCUGGCGGAAUGCUUUACACAUGCAAGUCGAACGGCAGCACGGGGCAACCUGGUGGCGAGUGGCGAACGGGUGAGUAAUACAUCGGAACGUGCCCAAUCGUGGGGGAUAACGUAGCGAAAGUUACGCUAAUACCGCAUACGAUCUACGGAUGAAAGCGGGGGAUCGCAAGACCUCGCGCGAGUGGAGCGGCCGAUGUCAGAUUAGGUAGUUGGUGGGGUAAAGGCUCACCAAGCCAACGAUCUGUAGCUGGUCUGAGAGGACGACCAGCCACACUGGAACUGAGACACGGUCCAGACUCCUACGGGAGGCAGCAGUGGGGAAUUUUGGACAAUGGGCGCAAGCCUGAUCCAGCCAUUCCGCGUGCAGGAUGAAGGCUUCGGGUUGUAAACUGCUUUUGUACGGAACGAAACGGCGAGCUCUAAUACAGUUUGCUAAUGACGGUACCGUAAGAAUAAGCACCGGCUAACUACGUG
rnacentral:rRNA from 1 species